CAUCUUGCCAAAACCUAGGGAAAUCUCACAAUUAGUGAUAGAAGAUUCAAGAAGUAAAAUCCCAUGGGAUUUGGAAUAAGAUGUGGCCCAUAUCCAUUGAGGAGUACAUAAUAAAUGAGCAUAGUGAAAACCAUCAUAAUCAACGCAAAAUGACCAAGAAUUAUUCUCAAAUUCUAGUCCAAAGAGCCCUAAAUAUAUUCCAAAAUUUCAGCUUAAAUGAUAUUAAAUGGACGAGAUUAGCAAAAAUGAUUUCUGGACUAAAGUCUAUAGGCUAUGGACUACAUACAAGGGGGCGGUAAAAUUAUAUAAGAGGGAAAUUUACUUACGGACCAGAAAAAAAGUCCAUCGUAAUGUUUUGGCCCAAAAAUGGACUAGUGUGCUUAUCAAAGAAGGGAUUUUUAUCCUAAAUUUGAAAGAUUCUGAGCAAUCUCAGGUAUUUGCAGCAGUGCUAAUCUCCAAUCGAACCGACUAAUCUCAAAAAUCAGGGUUAUUGCCCCUUGUAAAUCUAUGGCCAUGGAAGGUCGAUCACAACCUAAUCAUUACAAUGACCGAAGGAUGGCAGCCUGAGACCAAUUUAGCACACUUUGAUGAUUAUAUCAGUGAGAUGAUGCCUAUACUCUAUGAUGUUUGGUUGAUACUUCGGCUCAAUGUAAUUGGGAACCCCAUCAUUAUAGAAGAAUACCGUUCCUAUCACACAUAUUUGUAUAGAUAGCUUGGAGCUUCUCCAGGAGGUUCCUUUGAUAAGUUAGUGACUAUCAAAUUCAGUUGGCUGAAGGAGAGAUUCAUGAUAUUGCCACCGAAUGCUACUGAUGAGGUGGUGAUGAGGUGGUUGAGUGGCACGCGCGUGCUUAUUUGUUGUAUCUUGUUGGGAGCACAAUUUUUGUCAGCUCGAAGGGCAACGAGGUUCCCAUAAGGCAUCUGAAGUUCUUGGAGGAUUUUGACAGAGCAGGGUGAUAUGCAUGGUGUGCUGCGACUCUAGUCUAUUUAUUUUGUUCUCUUUAUAAGUUCGUUAUCAAGAAAAAAUCCCACUUUAGUGGGUCGGCAACGCUUUGUGCAUUGUUAGUUGUGGGUUAGUGUGACAAUAUUUUUAUGUGAUUUCAAUUUAUAAAACCUGAUAGGUCGAUAAACUUUAAUAUAUUUUUGUCAUUAAUUCAUUAUGCAGACUUGAGCAUUUGAGUAUUUUCUCACUUUUCGGCCUAAUAAUGAGAUGACAAACGUUAGAGUGGGCGAGGCACGCGCGAAGCGAUGGAGACCUCCCGUUCCAAAGAAAAACCCUUGAAAUAUCGAAUCCUACUACCAUUAGGAGAUGGAACUCCUUAAUUCGUCGAAAGUUAGCACAAUCACAAUAAUUGUGUUACAAAUUUUAAUUACAUUGAAUAAACUAAUGCAAAAUUAUUUGUGUGAUUAUUUGUGGGUUUCAUAUUAUACUCGUAAAAUGGAUUUUAUUUAUCUCAAAUUGUAGGUUCUAUGGCAACCAUAUAUCACAACCAAAUGAUAGCCAAAUGGAUAGGGAUAAGUAAGAAGCAUCUUCCAAUGCUUUCACCUCUGCAAUGUGCAAUUUUAAUCUUAUUUUUAUAACAUUGCGGAGCGCUAUCUGCCAAAGCGAGUGCUAUGACAGUUUGCCUUAAAGCAGGGAAUUCCUCCGAAUCCAGAGAGAUGGGGACGAGGAGAGAAGCAUGGUACGUUGGUGGAUUCAUGGAUGCAGGAGUUAGCCUCGAAAAUCCAAAUAUGGUUGGAUCAUUACAUGUACUGGGCCGGAGGUAAUAUUAUUGAUGCGGAUACUGAGGAUGGGGUGCCCUCAGUAGAGUGCAAGCAAUGGUACUCGAUGGUGUCUAGGCCGACUAUUUAGAACACCGUACAAAAUCAAGGGGUGUAAUAUAUACCCCAAGAGGAUAUGUUGACAAGUCGAGCAUGGGUGCAACACACAAUGCAACACCUUAGUUCUAUGUUGCAUCCUACUGAUAUGGGACACAUCGCUCGAGAGCAUGUAACAGUUGCUUGUCGGGAGUUGUCCAACCGAGAGGAGCAAGUCGUCAAGGAGGAUGAGAAGGCAAAUGAGGAUAAGGAGGCGGAUGGAGAGGAGGAGGCAGAGGCUGAGGAGGCGAAGGACGAGAUCCCCUUGCUUGGGCUUGUAGAGCCAAUUUUACAUGAGCGACGAUUCAACCUGCGACAACAACAGGCUCAAGGCAUUACAAUCAAGCAACAGGACGAGGGGCCUAGCCAGGUCUAUAAAGGGGGUCAGAUUGGUAGAACUAAACAUCACAAUGUUUUCUAUUUUUGUUUGGGCAUAUAUAAAAAAUGCUAUAAAUUUCAAAUGUUAUAUUAUGUUCA